ensembl:miRNA MIR583 microRNA 583
AACUCGCACAUUUACCAAAGAGGAAGGUCCCAGUACUGCAGGGAUCUUAGCAGUACUGGGACCUACCUCUUUGGU